CCCCCCCCCGUGCCCGGCCCCGCCCACGCCCCCGCUGGAGCCUCCGUGGGGCCGCCGCGGGCUUCGCCUGACCCGCUGCGGAGCUGCAGCCUCCAGAGUUUCCAGUUUCCAAACUGAAUGUGACCUCGUGGCUGGAAGGAGGGGAAGAGCCGUGGGUUCAACACCUCCAGGGCUCUGAGAAAGAAGUGCUCCCGAGAGCUGCCUGCACAGGGUUAAAUGAGACCACUGAAGAUACUACAGAGGACAGCGCACCCUUUGACUUCUCCCACCAACCCCAGGAACGUCGAACCCGUCC
rnacentral:lncRNA from 1 species